CAUUGUCACUGUUAAUUAAAAUAAAAGUCCAGAAGUUUUCUCCUGAAAAGGGAUCAUUUCUCCCUAUCUUUAUCUUCUUUCUUCUCUUGCUCACUCAAAUUACAUCAUCUUCAUGAUCAGAGGUCAGGGUUGUGAUCGUCGCGAAGUCCUCUUUGAAUCUGACCGAAUAAAAUUCUCUUUCGGGUUGAGGUAGAGUUUUUGCGAGCUCAAAGACGUUUCAGGGUUCGUAGAGUUUUCGAGCGAUCCUUUGAAGACAUUUUCAAACAAAGCAAACAAUUUCUUCUCAGUGAAACCUAACCUUUCCUUCGGAGCAUCGCUAGCAGGAGCAGGAGCAGGGGC